UCCGGAGGAAGCUCACCGUCGAGGCCACGCACUGGGUGCCCGUCACCCGCGCUUCCCGCCUCGGGGAAGGUCUGAGGGAAGGGCCCGACGCGGCUCCAGCAGAGCCCUGCCCGCGUGGGUGGGUGAGCCACCAGCAAGGGGGGGCGCCGCGCGGGCCGGCCUGGGCAGGAGAAGCCCGAGCGGCUGCGGAUUUGAUCUGAGCCGGGGCGGAUGCUCGUGGCUCCGCGGUGCUUUGAGACAGACUCACGGCCGGCGUAUUGAGUCCAAUGGGUGAGGUGGGGCAGUGCCGCACAACCUAAUUCAGACUACUCUCCGCCGGA
ensembl:ribozyme RNaseP_nuc Nuclear RNase P